GAGAAAGAGAGAGAGAGAGGCAGCCUGUGUGGAUGAAAGCAAAGGUCGACUCGCCCUCAAAGCCAUGCGACCCUCCCUUGCCUCGCAGGCCGGGCCAGCCUCCCUACGAGGCGGCUCCAGAAUCCUGGUUUAACUUUGACGCACCAUAUUUCCUGCAGCUGUGCACAGGCAGCUCCUGGACGAGGAGAGUUUGU